AACUUAUUGCAAUGGAUCACGUGGCUCUCGCAUCGAUUAAGAACGCAGCGAAAUGCGAUAAGUAAUGUGAAUUGCAGAAUUCAGUGAAUCAUCGAAUCUUUGAACGCACCUUGCGCUCCUUGGUAUUCUGAGGAGCAUGCCUGUUUGAGUGUCAUGAAAUUCUCAACUGCUUUAACUUUUAUGGUUGAAGUGAAGUUGGACUUGGAGGAAUAAUUGCUGGCGUGACCUUUUAGGUUGCUUGUUAGCUCCUCUUAAAUGGAUGAACUUUCCAUUUACAAAGUAACAUCAAUGUGAUAAUUAUCUACGUUGGAUGAGUUUGUACAAGGAAAGGUAUAUCUUGGAGUUCAAAUCCUUGAUGAAACAAAUGACAAAUUUGACCUCAAAUCAGGUAGGACUACCCGCUGAACUUAAGCAUAUCAAUAAGCGGAGGCU
rnacentral:misc_RNA from 1 species